AAAUUGAAGAGUUUGAUCAUGGCUCAGAUUGAACGCUGGCGGCAGGCCUAACACAUGCAAGUCGAACGGUAACAGGAAACAGCUUGCUGUUUCGCUGACGAGUGGCGGACGGGUGAGUAAUGUCUGGGAAACUGCCUGAUGGAGGGGGAUAACUACUGGAAACGGUAGCUAAUACCGCAUAAUGUCGCAAGACUAAAGAGGGGGACCUUCGGGCCUCUUGCCAUCGGAUGUGCCCAGAUGGGAUUAGCUAGUAGGUGGGGUAACGGCUCACCUAGGCGA
rnacentral:rRNA from 1 species